AAGAAUGACACGCAAAUUCGUGAAGCGUUCCAAAUUUUUAGAAGUUUCUCUGAAUGUGUAGAGUACCAAAAACCACAAGGAGGAGGCACAGUGUUCUCUCUUGAGUGUGAAGCCAGCUCUUGGUGUUACUUCCCUGCAACUGCCACUUGCCACUGAUGAUCGUUCUUCUCUCUCUUUAUGGGGGAGUAAGAGGGAGAGGAUGCAGUCUGAGUGGU
rnacentral:snoRNA from 1 species